rnacentral:ncRNA from 2 species
AUGAACGUCGCAAGAGAGACCUCUCUAAAUCCAUUAUUUAUCGGAAUAGAGGCGCCGAAGGUGCAAGGCCUAUAGGCCGAAACUCUCAGGCAAAAAGAUUGCGACCGGACG